rnacentral:rRNA from 1 species
UCCUACGGGGGGCAGCAGUGAGGAAUAUUGGUCAAUGGGCGCGAGCCUGAACCAGCCAAGUCGCGUGAGGGAAGACGGUCCUAUGGAUUGUAAACCUCUUUUGUCGGGGAGCAAAAGACGCCACGUGUGGCGUUCCGAGAGUACCCGAAGAAAAAGCAUCGGCUAACUCCGUGCCAGCAGCCGCGGUAAUACGGAGGAUGCGAGCGUUAUCCGGAUUUAUUGGGUUUAAAGGGUGCGCAGGCGGAAGAUCAAGUCAGCGGUAAAAUUGAGAGGCUCAACCCCUUCGAGCCGUUGAGACUGGUUUU